rnacentral:tRNA from 1 species
GGGGUUUUGGCUCAGUGGGAGGGCGCUUGCCUAACAUGCAUGAGGCACUGGGUUCGAUUCUCAGCACCA